UACGUAGGGGUCGAGCGUUGUCCGGAAUCAUUGGGCGUAAAGCGCGCGUAGGUGGCUUCGUAAGUCCGUUGUGAAAGUCAAAGGCUCAACCUUUGAAAGCCGAUGGAUACUGCGGAGCUAGAGUACGGAAGAGGCGAGUGGAAUUCCUGGUGUAGCGGUGGAAUGCGCAGAUAUCAGGAGGAACACCAAUAGCGAAGGCAGCUCGCUGGGACGUUACUGACACUGAGGCGCGAAAGCGUGGGGAGCGAACAGG
rnacentral:rRNA from 1 species